CCCUUAGAUGUUCUGGGCCGCACGCGUGCUACACUGAGUGGAUCAGCGGGUCAGGUUGCGCGAAAGCGUUUCCUAAUCUUGAAAUCCGCUCGUGAUGGGGAUUGACGGUUGCAAUUUUCUGUCAUGAACGAGGAAUACCUUGUAAGCGCGAGUCAUCAUCCCACGCUGAAUACGUCCCUGCCCUUUGUACACACCGCCCGUCGCUCCUACCGAUUGAGUGGUCCGGUGAGGCUUUGGGAUCUGAGCGGAAAGAGCGUUUCGCUCGUUCUGCCCGGAAAACUCAGUCGAACCUUAUCAUUUAGAGGAAGGAGAAGUCGUAACA
rnacentral:rRNA from 1 species